rnacentral:rRNA from 1 species
AUGGACGGCUUCCACGCGACGGUGGACACGGCUUGGAGGUCUGUGCAUGAAGUUGACCCCUUUCGCCGGCUGAUGCUUCGCUUGCAGGCUACAGCACGCAAGUUGACAAGCUGGAGCUCACGAUCAAUUGGCAACAUUAAACAUAAGAUGGCAAUCUCGCGUGAACUCAUUUCGCGCUUUGACAAAGCUUGGGAAGAUCGGCAGUUGACGCCACAUGAGGACUGGCUACGCAAACAGCUCAAGAUCGGCUAUCUUGGCCUCGCGUCCAUGGAGCGCACAUUCGCCCGGCAGCGCGCACGGAUAGCCACUCUGAAAGAUGGUGAUGCCAGUACAGCCUUCUUCCACCUGCAAUGUUCCUUCAGGCGGCAGAAGAAUAGGAUUUUCAGCCUGACCGUGAAUGGCCAGGUGGUCACCGAUCAUGAGCACAUGGCUGAAGCGGCAUUCACACAUUAUGAUGCAUUGCUGGGCACCGCAGUUGACCGUGAAUGCACGCUGGACCUAUCGGAGCUGAUCACGCCAUCUGACCUGGCAGACCUUGAUGCCCCCUUUAGCGCUGCAGAGAUCUGGGAGGCGAUCAAGCGGCUUCCGGCGCGCAAGGCACCCGGACCGGACGGGUUCACUGCCGAGUUCGUGCGAGCCUGCUGGACCACGGUACGCCAAGACUUUGUGGAUGUCUUCCAGCAGCUCUAUGAGAUGAGGGGCCGCGGCUUCAGCAAACUCAACCAAGCGCUGAUCACCAUGCUGCCGAAGCGCGCCGACGCGACCACACUGAAUGACUACCGGCCUAUAAGUCUUAUUCACCUAGUGGCAAAGAUCUUCGCCAAAGUGUUGUCCCUACGACUCGCCCCGAAGCUGGACAGCCUUGUGAGUCGGAGCCAAAAUGCGUUCAUCGCCGGCAGGAGCCUCCACGACAACUUCAUUCUAGUCAAGCAAUCGGCCCGGCUUCUCCACCAGUUGGGUGCCCCGCGAGUCUUGCUCAAGCUUGACCUUGCGCGGGCCUUCGACUCCCUAGCCUGGCCCUUCCUCAUGGAAACCCUGCGCCAAUAUGGCUUCGGAAAUAGAUUUAUGGAGUGGAUCGCCAUCCUCCUAUCUUCGGCAAGCACACGCAUACUGAUGAACGGUGAGCCAGGGCCUCCUAUCUGGCACCGCAAGGGGCUCCGGCAGGGUGACCCUGUGUCACCACAGCUAUUUGUGCUCGCCGUUGACAUCUUGGGCAGGCUCAUCAAGCGCGCUAUUGACAUGGGAGUCAUGGCACGGCUACACCCGAGGCGCUCCAUUCCCACUAUGUCGCUGUACGCGGACGAUGUGGUGCUAUUCUGCCACUGCUCGCCCAGCGACAUCAUUGCCGUGCGGGAGGUCCUGACGCUCUUCGGCCGCGCUUCCGGCCUAAGGGUGAACUAUGCCAAGAGCUCUGCCUCGCUGCUGCACUGUGACACGGACGAGGCGACAGCAGCACUUGCGCACCUAGGCUGCCCCAUCGUCAACUUGCCGAUCACCUACCUCGGGAUCCCCCUCACGGUAGGCCGACCAACUGCUGCCCAACUGCAGCCCCUAGUUGAUGGGAUUGCCGGCCGGCUCCCCUCUUGGAAGGCCAACCUGAUGAACAAGCCUGGGAGGCUUGCGCUGGUGAAGUCUGUGCUGAGCGCCAUCCCCGUGCAUCAACUACUCGCCUAUGCGCCGCCUAAGAAGACGCUUCGUCAAAUUGAGAAGAUUGAGCGCGGCUUCUUGUGGGCCGGCCGCGCUGCCGCCAAUGGAGGCCACUGCCAUGUCAACUGGCGCCGCGUUUGCCGCCCCAUAUCGUACGGAGGCCUGGGUGUCCAGGACCUGGAGCGCGCUGGCCUUGCUCUACGGCUACGAUGGCUAUGGUUCUCGCGCACUGACCAUGAGCGCGCCUGGAAUGGCCUGGACCUACAAUUCUCUGCCGAGGAGCGAGCGCUCUUUUUCGCGUCCACCACGAUGACCCUCGGAAACGGAACAACGGCAUAUUUCUGGGAAGACCGCUGGAUAAAUGGGCAAUCCAUUUGCGAGAUCGCCCCGUCACUUUACAAGCGCAUACCCAAGCACCGGCGCAAAAUCCGGACCGUCGCUGAAGGACUGCAAGGCCAUAGCUGGGCCAGGGACAUUCAUGGGACCUUGGGCAUACACGAGAUUGGCCAGUACCUUCAAGUCUGGCUGGCCAUCGAGCAUAUCACGCUCUCGGACACCCCUGAUCAGCUAGUUUGGAGAUGGACAGCCUCCGGUAUAUACUCUGCUAGCUCAUGCUAUCUUGCCACCUUCCAGGGAUCCAUGACUUGCUUCUCGUGGAAGCUCAUAUGGAAGAACUGGGCGCCGCCAAGAGUGAAGUUUUUUCACUGGUUGGCCAGCCAAGACCGGUGCUGGAUGGCCGACCGCUUGGCUCGACGCGGUCUCCAGCAUCAGCCAAGAUGCCCACUCUGUGACCAGGCUCCCGAGACGACGCGCCACCUCCUCUUGGAGUGCCCCUUCGCCAGGCAGACUUGGCACGAAAUCCUGUCCUGGCUACGGAUGACCACUGCAGGGCCAAGCCACGAAGAUUCAUUGAUGGACUGGUGGCUGCAGUAUCGCUGA